UUUGCACUUGAGUUUUUGGUGUUUUUGAUCUUGAUUUUGUGUGUAUGUUGAACUUGAGUUUGUGGUGUUUUUGAACUUGAGUUGGUGGUGUUAAUGAACUUAAGCUUGUGUUUGAACUUGAGUUUGUGGUGUUUGUUGAACUUGAGUUUGUGUCGUGUUUGCACUUGAGUUUUGGUCUUGAUUUUGUGUGUAUGUUGAACUUGAGUUUGUGGUGUUUUUGAACUUGAGUUGGUGGUGUUAUUGAACUUGAGCUUGUGUUUGAACUUGAGUUUGUGGUUUUUGUUGAACUUGAGUUUGUGUUGUUUUUGAACUUCAGUUUGUGUGGUGUUUUUGAACUUGAAUUUUUGUCGUGUUUCAACUUGAGUUUGUGGCGUGUUUGAAAAUGAGUUUGUGGCAUGUUUGAACUUGAGUUUGUGUUGUUUUUGAACUUGAGGUUGUGGCAAUUGUUAAACUUGAGAUUUGGGUGUUGGUUGAACUUGAGUUUGUGGUGUUUUUUGAACUUGAGUUUGUUUCGUGUUUGAAUUUGAGCUUGUGUGUUUUUUUAUCUAAAGUUUGUGGCACUUUAUGAACUUGAGUUUGUUGAACUUGAGUUUGUGGUCUUUGUUCAACUUGAGUUUGUGAUUUUUAGUGAACUCUAGUUGGUGGCAUCUUUGAACUUGAGUUUGUGGCAUUUGUUGAACUUGAGUUUGUGAUGUGUUUGAACUUGAGUUUGUGGUGUUUUUGAACUUGAGUUUGUGUCCUGUUUGAAAAUGAGUUUGUGGCGUGUUUGAACUUGAGUUUCUGCUGUCUUUGAACUUGAGGUUGUGGCAAUUGUUAAACUUGAGGUUUGGGUGUUGGUUGAUCUUGAGUUUUUGUCUUGUUUGAACUUUUGUUUUUGGAUUUUUUGAACUAGAGUUUGUGUGUUUUUUUAACUUAAGUUUUUGGCAACUUAUGAACUUGAGUAUAUUGAACUUGAGUUUGUGGCAUUUGUUGAACUUGAGUUUGUGAUGUGUUUGCACUCCAGGUUGUGGUGUUUUUGAACUUGAGGUUGUGGCAAUUGUUGAACUUGAGUCUGUGGUUUUUAGUGAACUUAAGUUGGUGGCAAUUCUUUAACUUGAUUUUUGAGUUUGUAGCGUGUUUGAAUUUGAGGUUGUUGCAAUUUUUAAAUUUGAGAUUUGGGUGUUGGUUGAACUUAAAAUUUUCACAUUUAUUGAACUGGAGUUUGUGGUUUUUUGUUGAACUUGAGCUUGUGUUUUUUGAACUUGAGUAUGUGUGUUUGUUGAACUUGAGUUUGUGGUGUUUUUUGAACUUGAGGUUGUGGUUUUUUUUAACCUGAGUUUGUGUUUUUCUUGAACUUGAGUUUUUGGCAUGUUUGAAUUUGAGGUUCUUGCAAUUCUUAAACUUGAGAUUUGGGUGUUGGUUGAACUUGAAACUGUGACAUUUGUUGAACUUGAGUUUGUGGUGUUUGCUGAACCUGAGUUUGUAUCGUGUUUGAAACUGAGUUUGUGGUGUUUUUGAACUUGAGGUUGUGUGUUUUUUGAACUUGAGUUUGUGGUGUUUUUGAACUUCAGUUUGUGGCCCUUUUUUAACUUGAGUUUGUUGAACUUUAGUUUUUGGCAAUUGUUAAAUGUGAGUUUAGGUCAUUUGUUGAACUUGAAAUUUUGGAAUUUGUUGAACUUAAGAUUGUGGUGUUUGUUGAACUUGAGUUUUUGGCAAUUGUUGAACUUGAGUCUGUAUUUUUCUCUAAACUUUAGUUGGUGGCAAUUGUUGAAGUUGAGUUUGUGGUGUUUUUGCACCUGAGUUUGUGUCGUGUCUGAACUUGAGUUUGUGUUGUAUUUGAACUUGAGGUUGUGGCAAUUGUUAAACUUGAGAUUUGGGUGUUGGUUGAACUUGAAAUUGUGGUAUUUGGCAAAUUUGAGUUUGUCGCGUGUUUGAACUUGAGUUUGUGGUGUUUUUGAACUUGAAGUUGUUGAAAUUGUAAAAUUUGAGAUUUGGAUUUGGUUGAACUUGAGUUAGUGUUGCAUUUUGAACUUGAGUUUGUGGUGUUUUUGAGCUUGAGCUUGUGUGUUUUUUGAACUGAAGUUUGUGGCAAUUGUUAAACUUGCGACUUGGGUGUUGGUUGAACUUGAGUUUGUGGUGUUUUUGAACUUGACUUUGUGUGUUUGUUGAACUUGAGUUUGUGGCGUGUUUGAACUUGAGUUUGCGGUGUUUUUGAACUUGACUUUGUGUGUUUGUUGAACUUGAGUUUGUGGCGUGUUUGAACUUGAGUUUGUGGUGUUUUUGAAAUUAAGGUUUUGGCAAAUGUUAAACUUGAGAUUUGGGUGUUGGUUGAACUUGAGUUUUUGUUGUUUUUGAACUUGAGAUUGUGGUGUUUUUGAACUUCAGUAAGUGUGUUUGUUUAACUUUAGUUUAUGCUGUGUUUGAACUUGAGUUUUUGGUGUUUUUGAAAUUGACUUUGUGUUUGAACUUGAGUUUGUGUUGUGUUUGAACUUGGGCUUGUGUCUUGUUUGAACUUGAGUUUGUGGUGUUUGUUGAACUUGAGUUUGUGUCGUGUUUGCACUUGAGUUUUUGGUGUUUUUGAUCUUGACUUGGUGGUGUAUUUGAACUUGAGUUUUGUGUUUGAACUUGAGUUUGUGGUGUUUGUUGAACUUGAGUUUGUGGCGUGUUUGCACUUGAGUUUUUGGUGUUUUUGAUCUUGAUUUUGUGUGUAUGUUGAACUUGAGUUUGUGGUGUUUUUGAACUUGAGUUGGUGGUGUUAUUGAACUUGAGCUUGUGUUUGAACUUGAGUUUGUGGUUUUUGUUGAACUUGAGUUUGUGUUGUUUUUGAACUUCAGUUUGUGUGGUGUUUUUGAACUUGAAUUUUUGUCGUGUUUCAACUUGAGUUUGUGGCGUGUUUGAAAAUGAGUUUGUGGCAUGUUUGAACUUGAGUUUGUGUUGUUUUUGAACUUGAGGUUGUGGCAAUUGUUAAACUUGAGAUUUGGGUGUUGGUUGAACUUGAGUUUGUGGUGUUUUUUGAACUUGAGUUUGUUUCGUGUUUGAAUUUGAGCUUGUGUGUUUUUUUAUCUAAAGUUUGUGGCACUUUAUGAACUUGAGUUUGUUGAACUUGAGUUUGUGGUCUUUGUUCAACUUGAGUUUGUGAUUUUUAGUGAACUCUAGUUGGUGGCAUCUUUGAACUUGAGUUUGUGGCAUUUGUUGAACUUGAGUUUGUGAUGUGUUUGAACUUGAGUUUGUGGUGUUUUUGAACUUGAGUUUGUGUCCUGUUUGAAAAUGAGUUUGUGGCGUGUUUGAACUUGAGUUUCUGCUGUCUUUGAACUUGAGGUUGUGGCAAUUGUUAAACUUGAGGUUUGGGUGUUGGUUGAUCUUGAGUUUUUGUCUUGUUUGAACUUUUGUUUUUGGAUUUUUUGAACUAGAGUUUGUGUGUUUUUUGAACUUAAGUUUUUGGCAACUUAUGAACUUGAGUAUAUUGAAAUUAAGUUUGUGGCAAAUGUUGAACUUGAGUUUGUGGCAUUUGUUGAACUUGAGUUUGUGAUGUGUUUGCACUCCAGGUUGUGGUGUUUUUGAACUUGAGGUUCUGGCAAUUGUUGAACUUGAGUCUGUGGUUUUUAGUGAACUUAAGUUGGUGGCAAUUCUUUAACUUGAUUUUUGAGUUUGUAGCGUGUUUGAAUUUGAGGUUGUUGCAAUUUUUAAAUUUGAGAUUUGGGUGUUGGUUGAACUUAAAAUUUUCACAUUUAUUGAACUGGAGUUUGUGGUUUUUUGUUGAACUUGAGCUUGUGUUUUUUGAACUUGAGUAUGUGGUUUUUGUUGAACUUGAGUUUGUGUCAUGUUUGAACUUGAUUUUGUGUUGUUUUUAACUUGAGUUUGUGGUUUUUUUUAAGUUGAGGGUGUGGAAUUUGUUGAAUUUGAGGUUGUGGCAAUUGUUAAACUUGAUUUUGUGUUUUAGUUGAACUUGAGUUUGUGUCGUGUUUGCACUUGAGUUUGUGGUGUUUUUUAUGAACUUGAGUUUGUGUGUUUGUUAAACUUGAGGGUGUGGCAAUUGUUAAACUUGAGAUCUGGGUGUUGGUUGAACUUAAGUUUUUUUGUGUUUGAACUUGAGUUUGUGGUGUUUGUUGAAUUUGAGUUUGUGUGUGUUUGAACUUGAUUUUGAGGUGUUUUUGAACCUGAGUUUGUGGUUUUUGUUUGAACUUGAUUUUGUGUGUUUGUUAAACUUGAGUUUGUGUGUUUUUUGAACUUGAGUUGGUGGUGUUUUUGAACUUGAGUUUCGUGUUUGAACCAGAGUUUGUGGUUUUUGUUAAACUUGAGUUUGUGUCAUGUUUUAACUUGAGUUUGUGGUCUUCUUGAAAUUGAGUUUGUGUGUUUUUUGAAGUUAAGGAUGUGGAAUUUGUUGUACUCAAGGUUGUGGAAAUUGUUAAACUUGAGUUUGUGUGUUAUUUGAACUCUAGUGUGUGUUGUAUUUGAACUUCAGUUUGUGUGAUUGUUGAACUUGAGUUUGUGUUGUGUUUGAACUUGAGUUUGUGGUCUUUUGAACUUGAGUUUGUGGUGUUUUUAACUUGAGUUUGUGUGUUUUUGAACUUGAAGUUUGUGGCAAUUGUUAAACUUGAGAUUGGGUGUUGGUUGAACUUGAGUUUUGUUGUGUUUGAACUUGA
rnacentral:lncRNA from 1 species